rnacentral:rRNA from 1 species
AUUGAACGCUGGCGGCAGGCCUAACACAUGCAAGUCGAGCGGAGCGGCGGACGGGUGAGUAAUGCCUAUGAAUCUGCCUGGUAGUGGGGGAUAACGUCCGGCAACGGGCGCUAACACCGCCUACUAUCAAAUGAGCCUGGGUCGGAUUGGCUAGUUGGUGGGGUAAAGGCCUACCAAGGCGACGAUCCGUCACUGGUCUGAGAGGAUGAUCAGUCACACUGGAACUGAGACACGGUCCAGACUCCUACGGGAGGCAGCAUUGGGGAAUAUUGGACAAUGGGCGAAAGCCUGAUCCAGCCAUGCCGCGUGUGUGAAGAAGGCCUUCGGAUUGUAAAGCACUUUAAGUUGGGAGGCGUUACCAACAGAAUAAGCACCGGCUAACUUCGUGCCAGCCGCCGCGGUAAUAC